rnacentral:tRNA from 1 species
CCGGCAGUAGCGCAGUUGGUAGAGCAAAGGUAACCACCCCUUAGGUCGCUGGUUCAAGUCCAGCCUGCCGGG